AUGGAUAAACUGAUUUCUAGCAAUCAAUCUGCCUUUAUCAAGGGCAGAUAUAUACUGGAAAGCGUGGUGGUAGCACACGAAGCCAUCCAUUCUUUGUCUAAAACCGGGGAGAAUGGAAUUGUCCUAAAGCUAGACUAUGAGAAAGCUUUUGACAAAGUAAAUCUAGACUUCCUAGAGGAUCUCCUUCACAAAAGGGGGUUUGGCAAAAAGUGGAUCGGCUAGAUCAACAAGAUCACCCGUGGGGGAUCUGUAGGGGUCAAGCUUAAUAACCUUGAGAGUAAUUACUUCCUCAUAGGAAAAGGGUUGCGCCAAGGUGAUCCCGCGUCCCCCUUACUCUUUAAUUUAGUGAUAGACAUUCUCACUAAAAUGCUGAUUAAAGCCUCAGAUGAGGGGCUGCUUAGAGGUCUGUGCUACGAUAGCUGCCCUGGAGGUCUGAUUAGCCUCUAGUAUGCAGAUGAUACGAUCAUG
rnacentral:rRNA from 1 species